AUCUGAUGAUGGGGGCAGCUUGCACAUAGUCUCUUGAAUCUCUCCCAAUAGUCAUAUAAUCCUUCUGCAUGUAGUUGUCUGAUUCCAGAAAUAUCUUUUCUGAUUGU
rnacentral:snoRNA from 1 species